rnacentral:rRNA from 1 species
AUGGCAGACAGUGGGCAGUUCGUGGUCACCAUUGGUCUGACGAACAUCAACACCACGAGGCAAGAUCCCAUCAAUGUCACAUCCAGCAGAAAUUUGUUACCCUCUUGCCAUGUAUCCAGCUCCAGCAACAAUGAUGAUUUUGAGCUAUUGUGGAGACAUCGUAAAUAUUUGGUACUUCUUGGAGUCCUAGCAGUUGGUGUGACAUACAAUGCUGGAUUAACACCGCCAGGGGGAUCGUGGACACUAAACGUGGAUGGUCAUCUUGCUGGUGACCCUGUCAUGCAUGAUGGCUUUUCUGAACGAUAUAAGGUGUUCUUUUACUGCAAUGCAGCAGCCUUCGCUGCAUCUCUUGUCUUAAUCAUCUUGCUUCUCAGUAAGAGUGUGACAAGGAAGAGGAUGUGGCUCCACUCAAUGCAAUUAACCAUGAUACUAGACCUAUUCAGCCUGCUGGGGGCUUAUGCUGCCGGAAGUUUCAGGGCACUCAAAUCAUCCAUUUACAUCUGGGUUCUAGUCCUUGCUGUUAUCAUAUAUGUUGGGAUCCAUACCCUAGUAUCCACAAGGUUUAUUCCAAGAAAAUUGAAACGGAAUCUGCAGAACAUGAUAAAUACAGUUCUAAUCAAACGGGGUUUCCUUGUGAGGCAAGUGAGCAUCCCUUUAGAGAACGUUGAGGAGGCUCGCAAGUUCAUUUUGAUGCUUGUAACUUUUGCUGCUACUAUCACCUACCAAGCAGGAUUGAAUCCACCGGGCGGCUUUUGGGCUGAAAACAACCAUGGUUCUAAUAAGCUGCAUAUGGCCCUUCCUCUUUACAAUCAUCAUCCGGCUACUUCUGUUCUCAAAAGUAACUACCUUCGUCGUUAUAAUAUAUUUAUCACUUCCAAUUCAACUUCCUUCGUGACAUCUUUGGUCAUAAUCAUACUACUUCUGAGCCCAAAAUUGAGUGGACAUGGAAUAAGGACCAAAGCAAUGAUUGUAUGUGUGGUAGUGGACCUAUUGUGCCUAAUUGUUGCAUAUGCUGCAGGAUGUUGUAGAGAUGUAGCAACAUCAUUCUAUGUGGUGUUUAUCAUCGUCAUAGUUUGGAUCUCCUUUGCAAUUUUAGCUGGAUUCUUUGUUACCAGGCCUGUAGCAAAUUGGCUACAAAAGGUCAAAUCAAGCAGCCUGUGGUGUGUGAGAAAAUUGGGUCGUGCACUUUCAUUGAGCUUUCGUGGCCACAGAUCAAGCAAUGCAGAGCAGGACAAUUCUUACGCAAGCAAUCAUCAACCUUCAGUCCGUUCAACUGAUGCACCUGCAGAAGAUAAUACUCCUGAGCCACAAGACCAGCCUGCAGAGGAACUUCCAAAUAUCAGAGAGGAUGUGUCCUAUGAGGAGCAUGCACCUGCAGAAGAAAGAAAUCAUAUUUCAGAUGAUGAAGAGGCUGUGGAUAACUCACAGCAUCUGUCAGGGAACAGCCAGCAAUCAGCAAAUAUCCAGGAUGUUGCGUCCAACACAGAGUGCCAGUCUCCAGAUGUCCAGCGUGUUGCAAAAAUGGAUGAGGAUGUGUCCAGCUCACCGCAUCCUGCUGGGAACUGUCAACGAUCAGAACAUGGCAUGGGUGUCGUGUCUAACUGGGAGUAUGGGUCUACAGAAGGCAAGCAAGAUGCAAGUAUGGAGGCAGCUAAAUCUAGCACUGAGCAAGAGUAUGACCCAUUACUAAGCCAAACUGCAAAUAGCAUGUGCCGUGUGUCAGAUGACCAGAAAAUUGCAAGUAUGAAGGAGCAUUCUUCAGCUGAUGAUCCCGAGAUCACUGUUCCUUUACCCAAGCAAAAUAUCUCAGCCAGUCAGAGUAAUGGAGACACUAGUGAUGACAUAGUGGAUGAAGGGUUUUCUGAACAUGUGGGAGCCGCUGGUAAUGCGGACCGUGCUGAACAAAAUAUUGUGGUUGAAGCUGAUAAUCCUCGUACUGAGAUUCGUAUCAGUGAUAACUAUCCUACACAAUCUGAGAAUGGACAUAUUGACAGCAAUCAAGUAGUACCCAAUCAAAAUGCUGACGGCAUUCGAACUGAGAAGCAUCUGAAGAAGACCCGCACAUGUAUGUUGCUUCUUGCCAUUCUUGCAGUAUCUCUGGCAUACCAAUCAGGCCUGAAUCCACCAGGUGGAUUUUGGUCAAGACGUAAAGAUCAUCAUUCAGCUGCUGAUCGCAUCCUUGAGGACACCCACCAUCGCCGGUUCAUUGCAUUCUUCUAUCUCAAUGCAAUCGCCUUUGUGGCAUCCAUUGUCAUGAUCACUUUGCUCUUGAACAAGAUGGUGAGAGACAAGGUUACCAAAUGGCGUGCAUUGCCAAUAACAAUGAUAGUGGUCCUACUUUCCCUGACCGGAGCUUUUGCUUUGGGGAACUGCAGGGAGGCAAAGAAGACUAUUUUCAUAUCAGUGCUCGUAUGCAGUGUACUUGCUUAUGUUCUCAUUCAUGUCUUGAUAGCAGUACAUAUAAUUCCUCCAGGAUGGAGAAGGCAGGUGGCAGAGAUGCUAGAGCAGUCAGUUAGUCUUUUUUGCUCAGUGCCACGUCAAUCAGGCGACAACCAGACUGGGAGCGGUACUAGUGAGAAGGAGUUGGGAAGGCGGCGUAAUCUUCUAUUGACCAUUUCUAUUUUAGCUGUGACUGUCACAUACCAAGCUGGCAUGAACCCUCCAGGAGGUGUCUGGUCUGAUGACAAGCAUGCCACGGGAACUCCGGGCAAUCCAAUCCUUCAGGAUACCCAUCCAAAACGCUAUGAUGUGUUCUACUACUCAAAUUCAGUUUCAUUUGUGUCAUCUGUGGUCGUCACAAUAUUACUUGUGAAUAAGGAAUCCUGUGAGUAUGGAAUCAAGUCCUAUGCACUGCGAGUGUGUUUGGUGGCGGGCUUGCUUGGCCUCCUCAUUGCCUAUGUUGCAGGAAGUUGCAGAAAUAUUAAACAGUCCAUAUAUCUGAGCGCCAUUGCUAUGGGAGUUCUGGUCUCCCUUUUGAUUCAAGUUCUGCUCUCUUCGAUGCAUGAUACACUGGGAAAACCAUUGGCUAAGUGUCUAGGAUUUCUACACGAUCUUCUCUUCCAUGCAGAGGGUGAACAAGUAAACACUCUUGUGAGUCCAGAAGCUUCAGUUGACGUGAGGUCAGAAGCUUCAGUUGACGUGAGGCCAGAAGCUUCAGUUGUCGAAGAAGAAAAGGUGAGAAAGAGACACAAGUAUCUGAUGCUUCUUGCAAUUUUAGCGGCAUCGAUCGCAUACCAAGCUGGUCUGAACCCACCUGGUGGAUUUUGGUCUGAUGAUAAGGACCAUGUACCAGGCAAUCCCGUCCUUCGUGAUAUUAAUCACCGACGGUACAAGAUCUUCUUCUGGUUCAAUUCUUUCGCAUUCAUGGCAUCCAUUGUCGUCAUCAUGCUGCUGCUGAAUAAAUCUAUCAGGAAGAAGGCUGUGUCACUUGGGGUAUUGCACUUGAUCAUGAUAUUGGAUAUGCUGGCUCUCAUGACAGCUUUUGCUGCGGGAAGCUGCCGCAAAUUGAGGACUUCAGUGUAUGUCUAUGCACUAGUUGGCGGUGUUGUAGUAAUCCUGCUGCUCCUAAUUAUUGUGACAAGUGCAAUUGCAAAAUAUCGGAAGCCAAGAGAGGGAGGUGGGACUAACUCCCCGAGACGUCCUGAACCUGUUUCAGGAGCAAACACACCGGCAUGA